rnacentral:rRNA from 1 species
CCCUGCUAUCCUAAAAUUUUAUAAUAAUUCAAAGAAAAAAAAACAAAAUAAAUUUGACGGUAUUAAUAUUUACAAAGGAUUUUGUUUUAAAAUCGAAAACACACGUUUUACCUCACUUAAAUCUUAUUUGUAUACCACCGUUAACGAAAUUAUUUUAAAUAAAUUUCACAAAAAACUAAACCCUUAAAAAAUCAGGUCAAGGCGCAAUUAAUUUAAGUUAAAAUGAAAUACAUUAAUAUAAUAUUAAAUAUUUUUUUUUGAAAAAAAAAAUAAACAGAAUUUGAUAGUAAAAAUAAAUAAUCAUGUUAUUUUGAAAAUUUCAAUUAAUAUGUACAUAUCGCCCG